GGCCAUGUGGCUUAAUGCAUAAGGCAUCUGACUUUGGAUCAGAAGAUUACAGGGUCAAGCCCUACCAUGGUCA
rnacentral:tRNA from 1 species